ensembl:misc_RNA 7SK 7SK RNA
AUGUGAGGGCGAUCUGGCUGCGACAUCUGUCACCCCAUUGAUCGCCAGGGUUGAUUCGGCUGAUCUGGCUGGCUAGGCAGGUGUCCCCUUCCUCCCUCACCGCUCCAUGUGCGUCCCUCCCGAAGCGACCUUCCCCGAAUAGAGGAGGACCGGUCUUCGGUCAAGGGUAUACGAGUAGCUGCGCUCCCCUGCUAGAACCUCCAAACAAGCUCUCAAGGUCCAUUUGUACACUCUUCUAAAUUACCUAUUUAUAGAUUUUACAUGAUAGAAAUUAUAAUCAUUUUGGAAAGCAAUUGUGGCUUUCUUCCUUAAU